GAUGUGCACUGAUCGUCUGGGCUCGCAAAUCCAAACACGCCACUCCUCCUCGUCCCCGUAGAAAAGGACACGCGUAGCCGUGAGGCAGAGGCAGCAGCCGCGGCACUCGAGCAAGCCAGCCACGCUAGUAGUACUAUUACUCUGCUCCAGUCAUCCAUCGUCUCCCUUCCCGGCGAGCGAGCGAGCGAGCGGACGGUCGCCGCCGCGAUGCAGCGCCGGCUGCCGGCACUCCUCCGCCGCGCGGCGGGCGCGGGGCCCGCGCGCCGGUGGCUCUCCGCCGCCUCCUCCCUCCUCUUCGACGACACCCAGGAGCAGUUCAAGGAGAGCGUGCACCGGUUCGCGCAGGAGCACAUCGCGCCGCACGCCGCCGCCAUCGACGCCUCCAACCACUUCCCCAAGGAGGUGAAUCUGUGGAAGCUCAUGGGGGACUUCAACCUGCACGGCCUCACCUCCCCAGAGGAGUACGGAGGGCUCGGGCUCGGUUACAUGUACCACUGCAUCGCCAUGGAGGAGAUCAGCAGGGCGUCCGGGUCGGUCGGCCUUUCCUACGGCGCACACUCAAAUCUGUGCAUCAACCAGUUGGUCCGUCAUGGCAGCCCUGCCCAAAAGGAAAAAUAUUUGCCAAAGCUAAUCAGCGGGGAGCAUAUUGGGGCAUUGGCAAUGAGUGAACCAAACUCUGGCUCUGAUGUUGUCAGUAUGAAGUGCAAAGCUGAGAAAGUAGAUGGCGGCUAUGUCAUUAACGGGAAUAAGAUGUGGUGCACAAAUGGUCCGUCUGCUCAGACACUGGUUGUUUACGCGAAAACAGAUAUAACUGCUGGAUCGAAAGGAAUAACUGCUUUCAUAAUUGAGAAGGGAAUGCCAGGGUUCAGUACUGCCCAGAAGUUGGACAAACUUGGCAUGCGAGGAAGUGAUACAUGUGAGCUUGUCUUUGAGAAUUGCUUUGUGCCUCAAGAGAAUGUUCUUGGUGAAGAAGGGAAAGGUGUUUAUGUCAUGAUGUCUGGUCUUGAUCUGGAAAGACUUGUAUUAGCUGGGGGCCCUAUUGGGCUCAUGCAGGCAUGCCUUGAUGUUAUUCUUCCUUAUGUUCGACAAAGGGAGCAAUUCGGCCGUCCGAUUGGUGAAUUUCAGUUCUUACAGGGGAAAAUGGCAGAUAUGUACACCUCCUUGCAAUCAUCAAGAUCAUUUGUAUACUCAGUUGCUAGGGACUGUGAUAAUGGCAAAGUUGACCGUAAGGAUUGUGCAGGAGUGAUCCUCUUUGCUGCUGAAAGGGCAACACAAGUUGCACUUGAGGCAAUCCAGUGUCUUGGUGGCAAUGGAUACAUAAAUGAGUACCCAACUGGCCGUCUCCUGAGGGAUGCAAAACUGUUCGAGAUUGGGGCGGGUACUAGUGAGAUCAGAAGAAUGAUAAUUGGCCGUGAGCUGUUUAAAGAGGACUGAGAUUAUUCUUCUGGAAGCCAGCUUGUCAGUGCAUGUUCUAACUUGAGGAGGUGAUCUGCAAGUGAACCUAAGGCCAUGUACUCGUACACCAGUAGCCGCUGAUCUCCGUCUGCGCAAUAGCCUACCAAGCUGACCAGGUUUGGAUGGUGCAAGAGGCUGAGCAUCAAGACUUCAACCAGGAACUCACGGUUGCCUUGAAAUCCAUUCAGGUCUAGUUGUUUGACAGCUACAAUCUGAUCAUGCAUCAAAAAGAUAAUUGAAACAAUGAGCAGAUUGUUACAAGUCAGUAGGGCUAUCUGAAGAAUGUUUGUCAUUGGGUUGUUCCUAUAUAUACCUGGCCAUUUUCAAGCUGUCCCUUGUAGACCCUGCCAAAGCCCCCCUCUCCCAGAAGGUAGUCGGAGCGGAAGUUCUUGGUGGCUGUCGCUAACUCACGGUAUGUGAAUGCUUUUGCAUUUUUGGCCAUGCUAGACCUUUCGGCAGGUUCACCGUUUGCUCUUGUUUCGGAUGAUUGCCCAUGUUUUGGAGCCUCUGCAAGGGACAAGCAUGGCAACAAGAUGGAUUUGACAAAUGGUACAAAACGAAUCCUCCGUGGUCCUUACCAGAUUCCAUGAGGGGUGCUCCAGAUCGCGUCGAGACGGUGGCAUUUGCGACGGCGGAGGUGGCGACCUCCCCUGACCCCGUCUUCCUCGGCGACGUCUUCUUCUCAGGCCUGAAGCAUGAAAAGCAUUUCACGGUCCGAAUUCCCCAAUGCAUGUGCCUCUCAACCAAACCUCCUCCUUGUGCCCACCACGAGAUCUCCAACCCCUCUGCUCUUUACAAUCCAGAAGACUCUUUGCACAUGCAAUGGCAGCAUGGACGAGGAGUUCUCCUCCCUUGCUGCAAGAUCCUGGUCACAGAUUGCCAUCGCACUCAUCUUGCAAGAAGAAUGCGAUCCCUGUGGAUGGGAUGUGAUCAGGUAGGAGGAGCAUUGUCACCGUGCCUUUUGUGGAGGUCAAUGUGCUCAGCCAAGAAUAGGAUCUCUCUCGGUUUUAGGCCACAGUUGAGCUCUAAAAUUAGAACGCCUGCCCCUCUGAAGAUCAGCAUCCUCUGGAAUGCACUGGAUGUAAACGCCUUCCAUCAUUCCCUGAAUUUUCUCAUUUGUUGGCCCCAUGGUUGGUAUUCCACAAGGGGAAAUGGCCUGCUCACUGUUUGUGUCCCUGUUGUUGGAAUAGUGGAAAGAAAAAGGGCACCCUAUGUCA